ACGCUCGACACCUACGGGAGCAGCAGUGAGGAAUAUUGGUCAAUGGGCGUUAGCCUGAACCAGCCAAGUAGCGUGAAGGAUGAAGGCUCUAUGGGUCGUAAACUUCUUUUAUAUAAGAAUAAAGUGCAGUAUGUAUACUGUUUUGUAUGUAUUAUAUGAAUAAGGAUCGGCUAACUCCGUGCCCGCAGCCGCGGUAAUCUGAGCGGGCUGGCAAGGC
rnacentral:rRNA from 1 species